ensembl:lncRNA
GCCAGGCCCGGCCCGGUGCUCGGCGGCCGCCUGCGCACGGUGAGAGGGGCGGUGCUGCACAGCGAGGGAGGGACGGAGCGGGGCGGAGGGGAGGGACGGGAAAGCGGCGGGACGGCGGCGGGGGGCGCUGCGGGGACCGGCCCGGGGGGAGAGAUGUGGUGGCGGAGGGUCUGGGAUGAGAGAAAUGUCUGAGAGGCAGGCGGGAGAGGGCUGAGGGGACCGGGCUGCAGCUGAGGGGAGUUUCUGAGGGACAGGCAGUAAGGAGUUGAGGGGAGAUUCUGAGGGGUAGGCGGGAGUGAGCUGAGGGGAAGUUCUGAGGGAGAGGUGUGAAAAAACUGAGGGGAAUUUCUGAGGAAUAGGUGCGAGUGAGUUGAGGGAACUGGGGCCGCAGCCCGGGAAAGUUCUGAGGGACAGGCAGGAGCGAGCUGAGGGAGUUUGUGAGGGACAGGUAGUGAGGAGCUGGGGGAGUUUGUGAGGGACAGGUAGUGAGGAGCUGGGGGAGUUUCUGAGGGACAGGCAGUAAGGAGUUGAGGGGAGAUUCUGAGGGGUAGGCGGGAGCGAGUUGAGGGGAAAUUCUGAGGGGUAGGAGAGAGAAAGCUGAGGGAAAAUUCUGAGGGAAAGAUGUGAAAAAGCUGAGGGGAAUUUCUGAGGAAUAGGCGGGAGUGAGUUGAAGGAACUGGGGCUUAAGCCCGGGGAAUUUUUGAGGGACAGGCAGGAGCGAGCUGAGGGAGUUUGUGAGGGACAGGUAGUGAGGAGCUAAGGGAGUCUGUGAGGGGCAGGCUGGAGCAAGCUGAGGGGAAAUUCUGAGGGAGAGGGGUCUGGAGGCACUGGGAGACUGGAAAGGCUCCAGAGAAGAACAAGAAGAGGUUAUCUUGCUAUGCUAAACUGUAGUCCUGCAUAAAUGCACGUGUGUGAACCUCCAUGGCCGUUCAUGGCAUCUCCCAGGAGCAGCCCCAGUCCUGAUUCCUCAUUCCAGUACGUAGUGUGUGCUGCUGAGGAAGUGCAAGGCACCGCUGUGAGGAGUGUCCCCACCUGUUGGACCAGCAAGUGCAGCUCUGCAGGGAGGAAAUUGCAGCCAUAGGAUGCGAUUUGUUCCCUGCCUGAUAUCUCUUCGGGCAUCCAGUGUCACUGAGCAACCCUAAAAAGCAGCAGUGGUGCAGUCGAUCUGACAGUACAAGGGCAGAUCCUCUGGACGGUAGAGGAUGCUAGAGAAGAGGUAGAUUUUCCAUCGUGCUUUUCACUGUUAGCAUCUCUCGGUCUUGCCUGGCAUCAGCGCUAGCCAGCGUCUCUGUGUUUGCUUACAGCUGCAUGCCUCUGCAAAUGGAUGCAUGCGUGGAGUUGCAAACCGAGGCACCUUGAAACGGGUCCAGAAGUUUGCGUGAUCUCCCACUGAGCACAUCCGAGGAGUUUGAUAGGUUUCUGCUCUCGACAUCCCGUUCUUUCAGCUGCAGGAGGCAGGGACCCUUGGUUUUUUCUCACCUACCCUCUGCUGAGCUGCCAAGUGUUCCAGCCUCAGCUAGAGAGUUUGCUUCCUCAUUUCCACAUGCACAGCUCGGGUGCAACCUUGGGAUGCCAGAGCGUCAGUCUGAUUCUUUGUCCUUUGAGUCUAUUUACAGUGUUUUCAUUGAAUAGGACAAGGAAAAAUAAAUAAAUAAAAUCACAGAACA